AGGUGAAUUGUUGUUAUUAUCAUUCCGGUGGUAAUUUCGGGGAGUCUAGGAACCACAUCAGCAGACAGCUUGUGAUGAUGUAGUAUGCUGUGGAGUUCGACUGUAACAUACCUCAUGCACGACUGUUACUAAGGCCAACAGUCACACGAGAAUUGAUCAAUGUUGUAGCGGCGCUUGACUGUUUCACUUCUCUUGUGUCACUACACAAUUGUGACGUUUAAAUGUCUGAAUAUAGUAAAUCUUGUGUUAAAUAUAGAAACUUUAAAACACCACUGUGAGUGGAAUCGUUCUACGACACGUAUAUAUCUAUACGCACGUUGAGGAUUUAGAAGUGGCGAGCUUUAAAUUUGUUUGGAAAGUAUCGGCGCGGUGAUUUCACAGUCUAAAUUACAAAGUAGCAGGAGCGAUGGAGUUCGUCUCGUGUAGAAAUUUGUCGCUGAAUCUAGUCAUCAACUGAAGUCAUCUGUCAGACCGCCACAGCUACAGAGAAUAGUUGAUUUCUGGGAACUUGGAGCGGAGUUCGGUUACAAUAUCACGGUGACGACCAUGAACGCCUUAUGAAUCGCGGAUUGAAGAGGAUAUAUUUCCGGUUUUAGUGGAACCCCCAGAAUCCGGAAAAGCUGAGGAAUGAAAUCUGAAGUUCGGUCUGAGCUGGAGCAUACCUCGAUGUCAGUCGUCAAUCCGCACAGAGAAUACGAGUUGGAAGAGUUUACCAUUUCCACACAAUAGACAGUUUGGACCAUGGUAGUCUCGGUGAAGGUUUCGGUCGGAAAUGGAAGUCCGGGUCCGAACCCGUUUACUAUAAUCUUCACACUGGUUUUUCUCGCGUUCCUAGCGAUUGUAAUUUUCGCAAUGACUAUGGAAGUUCUCCGCUUGAAAAGGAUUGCUGACAGCCUCACCACACUUAAUGAAACAACGACUGAUAUUAGUUACUCCAUGGACAACACGUGAUGCCUACAAAUCGUCUGUGAUUGGUUAGAAAUUCGUACACGUCACUUCCGUGUAUGACAUCAUUUCCUGUUUUGCGUGCCAUUUUACCGUAACAGGAAUGCCGAAUUGCCUGAUUGACAUUGAGCGCGAUCUAGCGGUGAGAAAUGCUCCUAAGGCUGAUAAUUCAGUCUAGUUUAACGGGAAGUACAAAAACCUACCGCUAUGACGAGUACUAACACGAACAGAAUGAACAUUAGGCGGCGGAAUCAAGGAUCAACGAGUUUAUUACCUCGACCACGAGAAAAGAUUUUGUUUCCUAAAUUUCUGUUUUACGUUAAGUUAUUUGUUUUACAUUUUUUAAUUGCUGAAUAUAAUAUAUUGUUUCGUAUAAGUAUGCCUACAAUUUUUUUUUUUUUUUUUUGUAUUUUAAAAUUUCCAUCCUAACUUUGAUGUUAUGCAGUGAACGGAAUAGCGUAUAGUUCCAAUUGCGGUGGACGCUAUUCCUUGAUUUCAAUUGUGACGUCAUUUUUAGGAGAUAGUUUCUCUUGUUGUUUUUGUUUGAUAUUGCCGGGGUAGAAAGUUGAGAACACAAAACAGAAAAGCGGCGAAGUCGUCUUUAAAAUGUUUUCGUGAUCAACUCACCUCAUUAACUGACGACUUUUAUCACUACUUCGUUUUAUGCAAAAAGUUUGUAUAUUUAUUACCGUGAUUAAUACAAUCCGUCGAUGCUUGCUAUCUGUUAAUGACUUUUUUAAUUGUCCAAUUUGCAUGUUUCAGCGAACAACAAACAGCCCGUUUGCUGUUUAUUGAUUUCACGUUCCUCGGCGAAACAAAGCGAGAAAUGGCUAGUCGAUUUUCAUCAAUAUUGUUUAUCUUUGCCAAGUCUUUAACCUUUUACAAAAAUAUUAGUCGGUAAAUAUAGUCGAGUUUAAAUAAAAAUUUUCCCGAGUGAAUCUCCUUGUAGAUUCUUAAUAUUUGGAAUUAUAUAUUACGUCAUCUAAGAUGACGUCGGAGACAUCAUGUUGGCCUAAAACAAGUUGAUGCAGACAGUGGUAAAGUUUUAUAUUCGAUAUAACUAAGAAAUAAUCUAUUUUCUUCUUUCAUAGGAAGUCGGGGGAUACUUGUUAAUACGCCAGGUGGUUCCUGUGGUUU